UAAUUAUAGUUAGAGUUAAUUUGAACCGUUGGAUUGCUUCAAAUUAAUCCAUGCCAUCCAUUCCUUGUUAGGUUUCUCCCAGUCUAGUUUCAUUUCUGAUUUCUCACUCAGCCUUCCAACACCGACAGCCUUCCUUCGAAUCGUCUCUGACUCUCCAGCCGCCCAGCCUUCCUUCACGAAUCACCACCCAGCCACCGCCACGCCAAAGCAUCAAAGACUGAACUCUCCAGCCUUCCUUCACGAAUCGUCUCCGACUCUUGCGAUCUCUCUCUCACGGACAGAACUCUCGAUCUAGCACCGAGUCCGAGUCUCACUCUCACCCCAAAUUAGGGAGAAGUGUUAGCAGGUUUAGCACUGCUGUAGCAACUGAGGAGUUAAUCAUUUCACCUGUUCAAACUUCAAAUUAGUCACACGCUGCGUCAGUUUUGAAGGAUAGUGACUCAUCAGCUAUUUACUUGUACUGCCACUAUAAAGUACUUUUGGGCUGAUUAGUUGGCUGGUCUAUACCACUUGGCCCUUGGGUAGGUGAGCAAGUGGUGCAAAUGAUCUGCACGAAAUUUUAAGCCCAGAAAAGCCUUGGUCUGCUGGUGAGUUCUCCAGCCGAUUUGGGGGUUUCGUUAUCUUUCAUUAGAGUGGACGGAUACCUGAAGUAGCUUUGAUGGCACGAUCUUACCUACCAAGCAAAAGUUUCAGAGAUAGUUUCAAUUUGGAGAAAUGACCUGAACAAGGUCAAUAAAAAAGCUCCAGAAUCAUUGGCCGAUCCGCAAGAGUGUCCUAAUUUGUUUGAGGACUGGCAGGUUUCUCUUGCCCUUGAGUCUAAAGAUGCAGAAAAUAGGUAGUGCUGAUGUACUGAUUUUCUGGGAUUUUUUUUGUCCUUGUAGGAUUUUUGGUCUUUGAAAUGGGUCUCCACCCCACAUUUCACAAGUUCCAUAGAAGUUGGUUGUGCAGAUUGUGUCUGCAAUUAGAUCAGAGGUCAACCACACUUUUGUUAUCAUGCGGAAGAUUGCUUUUGGGAAGGAUCUGAAGCAGUUCCUAUGUUUAUUGCCAUGUAGCUCUGUCUUUUCUAAUUGAUGGUGUUCAUGUUGCACUGCGAUUCAUGAUGAUGAUUUAAUUGUUUCUCGAUUUGUAAUUGUUUGUAAAUAAUGUGGCGUAUCUGAAUUGCAAUCUGUGUUUUGUAUGAAAGGGAUGGCAUAUCAUGUUGCUGACUUAAUUGUUUAUGUUUUUCAUAUUUGCGAUGGUGUUAUGAUCGAUUAGGGAUAGGAGAAACAAAGAGGAUGACACUUAUAACUGCCCCUCCCCAUCGGCCUUCUUCAAAUUUGGAUCACAAGAAGGGAGCAACAUAGGGUGGAUCACACACUUCCUCCUUACUUAGAGCAAGAGGAGAUGACGGUUUGUAUAAAAAGAAAAACUUACCAGGGUUGGCUUCAUUUCAUUCCAGUAACUCUCUAAAUAGGUCCAAGAACUCACUAAAUAGAAAUCCUCAACUGUUGGAUUCUGUUGAGAUGGGCAGAAUUUGGUGGUGUCUUCAUCGUCGAUUGACACCUGGACUGCAACAUCAUCUUCACUCACCCCAGCGUCAGCAGAUUCCACCUCCAAAUCCUCUCCGAUCCUUAUUCCCAAAAGCUCUCCCUCUGAUUUGUCAUCAGUUUUCCAACAAUUCCGGUCAGGUCAGCGUUGAUGUUGGUCUUAAACUAUUCCUCAGCGCCUCAGGUGCCUUCUAUUUCAUGUUUAUAGUGUUUGCUUGAUAAAGACGGAGAAUAGCACUGUCCAAAUGAAUAGGAAGACCUCAAAAACUCCUUGAUGUGUUGCUUUCCUUAAUGUAUAAAGACGGAAAAAGAGGGGCAAGUUGCGAAAAGACAAAAAAAAAAAAAAAAAAAAAAAAAAAAAAAACCAGAGAUUGGGCAAGUGGAGAUGGCAAUUGUUGUGGUUCAUACAAUCCCUCCUUUUUAUUUAGAGCAAGUGGAGAUGGCUGUUUGAAUAAAAAGAAGAAUUUGGCCAGGGCGUUUGCCACGGAGGUUAUGCAGCUCUGCAGACAGUCACACAGUGGAACUUGGAUUACACAAAGCACAGCAAGCAGGUUGAUAGGAAUGGGAAGUGAUUCUGGUGAACAGAGGUCUAGAGUUCAGGUUUGUGCUAAUCUCUCACUCUUCCUCUCUCCUUCUCUACUGGAAAAUCCAUAGUCUUUCAUCUUCCUCGGCUCUUCCUUUCUCUCCGCUCCCCAUUUCUCUCUCCUUGGAGCCUACAAACCAAGUAGUGAUGGUCGACAAGCUUCAAAUAUGCUGGACGCGUACUGGAGAAGGGACAGUUCUGUCCGUUGCAGAGAGAGAGGGGGGAGUAUGGGGGUAGGGGAGAGGAUUUCGGCAGGGAGAUAUGGGUUUGGGGAGAAAGAGUAAGGGAGAAGUAUGGGGUAGGCUGAUUUCCAGGGAUUUCCUUUCACCCCUUCACUCACCACGAACCCACCUUUCUCUUCGUUUCUCCCACCCUCAAAUCUUCCGUUUUCCCUCUCACAAAAUACCCACCAAGGAAACCCUGCUUUUGGUUUAUUUUGGGAUUUUGUUUGCGCUCUCAAUUUCAAACGACGGGCCAAUUGGUUGAGAUUUGGAUUUCUCCCCUUUUUGUGGAAGCUCACAAAUUGUGUUUCGGUGGGAUCGGUCUCGAAUAGCUGCGUGUGUCUACUCUUUCCAAGGAAACAGUGCUUUUUGCUUUCUAGAACCGUUUGGAGAGUGCACGACUUGAGGAUCUCAGACCCAAGGUAAAAGGGGAGUUACAGAAGUCCCAGGCAGCAAUCUCUUUGUAAUCAUCGCCGGGAAAAUAUCGUGGUCAUUUUGAGUUUGGAUUUAGCCAGCACGUGGUCUGUGCAAGAUAUCCAUAUAUGGAUCAAUGCUAUGGACUCUUCUCAACCUAUGGACCUCAAAUUUCAGUGCGUCUUCCAUCAUUUCUCCUACCUCACUGUAUGUAGCUAUUACAUUUGCAAUCAUAUUAAUUCAUUGAAAACAAUAUUUAUAUUUCUCUGUAAAAUAUACUAUCAUUUCCUUGCUGGUACAUUAAAAUGGAAAUAUGAAAAGUAGAACCGAUCAUCGCUGGGUUCUCUC